GAUGCUGUGGAAGGAGACUCUGCUCGGUGAGGUGGGCAGUGACGUGGCACGCACCGCCCGGCUCCGGAAGGAGUGACGGUCCUGCCAACGAAUCCAACGCUUCCUGACCGCAGACCGCACCUGCACACACAGACAGGUCAGAGAUCAGAUGAACCUGGAAGGACUCCAGGAUGGAGUUAAAGUAGAUGAAGACGAUCUGAGCAACUUCGUCUUCUCCUCCAGGAUUCACAAAGAACAACAUGUAGGUGAUUCCUAACAGAGGCAGCAGCACCAGCGUCGCCUUCACCGCCUUCCUACACGAACAAAACAACAAGAGGAUCUCAUCAGAGAGUGGAAAUGACAGUCAAGACUACAGCAGAGAGGAAAACACAAGAGGUGGAUUCAACUGCAGCAUUUUACUUCAACUUUAUUGUCCCCAAGUGGAAAUUUGUCUCGCAACAGAUCAAACACAGGCUUGCAUAUAAAACACAAUAAAUACAAAUAUGUAGAAAACAAUGUUUUUACACACACACACUAGUCAUAGCAGAACAUAAAACCUGGCGUACAUCCAGCCAUCAUCACCCACCCGAUCAUCUGUUCUUGUCGAGAGGUUUCCAAACCAAGUCAUAACAGAAAUGUCCCGGCCGUGUCAUCAGUGUUGUCCCUUGUGUCGCCUGUCCUGUCAGUCUGUGUUUGCGUGGGCGUGCCCCCGGCUCUCAUGAUUACAAGAUUCAACUCACCUGCUCUGACGUACACACCUGCCAGCCAUCAGCUCAUCUACUCAAAAGUAGAUCUACUCUGGUGUUUCAUCCCCAGAUCGUAGUUUCACCUACAGCCGGUAGUGUCGCAGUCUGGGCCGCUCAGUGUUGCUAUUCUGAGUUUCUCCUCGUGUUUUUGUGUUUUAUCUCACGUUUGUUCUCGUGUUUCCAGAUUCACCAUUCUCAGGUUCUGAUUAUCAAUUAAAGAUACUUCCUGUGUUGUGGCUCGUACCUGUACUGGAUGGUCUCUGAGGUGGUCGACGCCCUUAGUUUGGUCAUCAAGAUCCGAACGAUGUUGAACAGGAAGACAAAGUUAAUCUGAGGAAGAGAGAUGAAAAAGACUGA